rnacentral:rRNA from 1 species
UGACCUGCGGAGGGAUCAUUAAAGAGUUUUAUAACUCCCAAACCCAUGUGAACAUACCUUCUGUUGCCUCGGCAGGUCGCGCCUACCUCGUAGCGCCCUACCCUGUAGGGCCUACCCGGCAGACGCGGGUAAGCCUGCCGGCGGCCCAUUUAACUCUGUUUAUUAUUGAAUUCUGAACCUAUAACUAAAUAAGUUAAAACUUUCAACAACGGAUCUCUUGGUUCUGGCAUCGAUGAAGAACGCAGCGAAAUGCGAUAAGUAAUGUGAAUUGCAGAAUUCAGUGAAUCAUCGAAUCUUUGAACGCACAUUGCGCCCAUUAGUAUUCUAGUGGGCAUGCCUGUUCGAGCGUCAUUUCAACCCUUAAGCCUCUGUUGCUUAGUGUUGGGAGCCUACGGUACUGUAGCUCCUCAAAGUUAGUGGCGGAGUCGGUUCACACUCUAGACGUAGUAGAUUUCAUCUCGCCUAUCAGUUGGACCGGUCCCCUGCCGUAAAACCCCUAAUUUCUAAAAGGUGACCUCGGAUCAGUAGAUGCGAGACCC